UGAGUACGAGAUGCUACGGCAUCGAAGCAGUCUAUGUCAUACUUCCAAGAAAAGCUUGCACUGUCAGAAACAGAUAAUGCCUGUACCAUAACCGACACAGGUGGGUAGGUAGAGUAUACUAAGGGGCGCGAGAUAACUCUCUCUAAGGAACUCGGCAAAAUGACUCCGUAACUUCGGGAGAAGGAGUGCCUUAUUUUUAAGGUUGCAAUAACAAGAUCCAAGCAACUGUUUACCAAAAACACAGGUCUCCGCUAAGUCGUAAGACGAUGUAUGGGGGCUGACGCCUGCCCAGUGCCAGAAGGUUAAAGAAGUCGGUUAGCAUUCGCGAAGCUGGUAACUGAAGCCCUGGUGAACGGCGGCCGUAACAAUAACGGUCCUAAGGUAGCGAAAUUCCUUGUCGGGUAAGUUCCGACCCGCACGAAAGGCGUAAUGAUUUGGAUACUGUCUCGGAGAGGGGCUCGGUGAAAUAGACUUGUCUGUGAAGAUGCGGACUACCUGCACCUGGACAGAAAGACCCUAUGAAGCUUUACUGUAACUUGAAAUUGAAAUUGGACUUUAUUUGCGCAGUAUAGGUGGGAGGCGUUGGAAAUAUUCUUGCGGGAAUAUUGGAGCCAUCAGUGAGAUACCACUCUUGUAAUGUUAGAUUUCUAACUUUAUAUCAUUAUCUGGCUAAAGAACAGUUUCAGGCGGGCAGUUUGACUGGGGCGGUCGCCUCCCAAAUGGUAACGGAGGCGCACAAAGGUUUCCUCUGAACGGGUAGAAAUCGUAUCUAGAGUGUAAAGGCAUAAGGAAGCUUGACUGUGAGACCUACAAGUCGAGCAGGGACGAAAGUCGGUCUUAGUGAUCUGACGGUGCUGAGUGGAAAGGCCGUCACUCAACGGAUAAAAGUUACUCUAGGAUAACAGGCUGAUCUCCCCCAAGAGUUCACAUCGACGGGGAGGUUUGGCACCUCGAUGUCGGCUCAUCGCAUCCUGGGGCGGUAGUACGUCCCAAGGGUUGGGCUGUUCGCCCAUGAAAGCGGUACGCGAGCUGGGUUCAGAACGUCGUGAGACAGUUCGGUCCAUAUCCGGUGUAGGCGUUAGAAUAUUGAGAGGAGCCUUCUUUAGUACGAGAGGACCGAGAAGGACAUACCUCUGGUGUACCAGUUAUCGUGCCAACGGUAAACGCUGGGUAGCUAUGUAUGGAGUGGAUAACCGCUGAAAGCAUCUAAGUGGGAAGCCCACCUCAAGAUAAGUAUUCUCACC
rnacentral:rRNA from 1 species